UACAGAGGUCCCAAGCGUUGUUCGGAUUCACUGGGCGUAAAGGGUGCGUAGGUGGCGAACUAAGUCGGGUGUGAAAUCUCCGGGCUCAACCCGGAGCAUGCGCUCGAAACUAGUCUGCUAGAGGGUGGGAGGGGAGACUGGAAUUCUCGGUGUAGCAGUGAAAUGCGUAGAUAUCGAGAGGAACGCCAGUGGCGAAGGCGAGUCUCUGGACCACUCCUGACACUGAGGCACGAAAGCCGGGGGAGCUAACAGG
rnacentral:rRNA from 1 species